AUUAAGNAAUCUGCUCAUGCAAUUAAAUAGCCGCUUUUGUGCUAAGGUAGCAUAAUCAUUUGUCUUUUAAUUUAAGACUAGAAUAAAAGAUUUUUCAUCUUAAUUUAUAUUUUAAAAUAAUUAAUAUUAAAUUAUCUUAAAAGUAAAAAGACUUUUAUGAAAAAGAAAGACGACAAGACCCUAUAGAACUUAACUUAAGUUAAACUGGGGCAGUUAAUUAAUAAAUAUUUUAAUAUAUUACAUUUCCUAAUUUCAAUCUAAUAUAAUUAACAAAAUGACUAAGUUACCUUAGGGAUAACAGCGUAAUAUAAUUUUUAAGUUCUUAUUUAAAAUUAAGAUUACGACCUCGAUGUUGAUUUAAUUUUCCUAAUAUAAACGCAAUAGUAAAUAAAGGAAGUCUGUUCGACUUUUAAAUAAUUACAUGAUCUGAGUCAAAACCCGGAGA
rnacentral:rRNA from 1 species